AGAGCAAGCGCCGCCCUCGCAGUCCUUUCCCGCCUAAUUUUACCUCACGACACCAGUCAGGAAAACAAGGCCGCGCCAAGCAGGGCCGCCACUGUCCUCCCCAGGAAGAAGGAAAGACUAGUCAGUUAUUGAAGGAAUUUUGGGACUGGCUGCAAAAAUACAGAGAUUUCCAGCAAGGGAAAUAUUAAUAAACAAAGAAAAAAAGAGAACUUGGAAGGCAAAUCAUCCUACAGAACUGGCCUAGCAUUCCAGAAGCUUCAUCAUAGAUGCAGAGUGUGAUAUUUCAUCAGGAGCCAUGUUGCAAUCAUCUAUGCAAAAAAGAAGAGACAUGCCUGUGUGCUAUAGCAGGUUUGUGUCCUCCUUUACACCAAGGGACAUCUUCAUGCAGACAUCACAGUUGUGGAAAAGAACAAGGUUUGGAUCAUUGAUGUCGCCAUCCCAGGUGACAGUCGCAUUGACGAAAAACAACAGGAAAAACUCAGCCGCUAUCAGGACCUAAAGAUUGAACUUCAUAGACUCUGGCAGAAACCAGUGCAGGUGGUCCCAGUGGUGAUCGGCACACUGGGUGCCAUGCCAAAAGAUCUCAGCCGGCAUUUGGAAACAAUAGGCAUUGACAAAAUCACGAUCUGCCAACUGCAAAAGGCCACCCUACUGGGACCUGCACGCAUCAUCCGAAAAUACAUCACACUUGGGAAGUGUUCGACUUGUGAUUUUGUGAUAUGAAAUCCAGCAUGUCUAUCUUGUUUGCUGUGUCAUACAAUAAAAUAAUAAUAAUAAUAAUAAUUUAUUUAUACCCCGCCACCAUCUCCCCGUGGGGACUCGGGGCCCAGCUUUUUAAACCGCUCUUCGUAGAACUUGUUCUCCAGACCUUUGAUCAUGUUAGUUACCCUCCUCUGGACACUUUCCAGCUUGUCAACAUCUCCCUUCAACUGGGGUGCCCAGAAUUGGACACUGUGAUCCCAGGUGUGGUCUGACCAAGGCAGAAUAGAGGGGUAGCAUGACUCCCUUGAAUCUAGACACUAGAUUCCUAUUUAUGCAGACCAAAAUCCCAUUGGCUUUUUAGCUGCCGCAUCAUAUUGUUGGCUCACGUUUAAUUUGUUGUCCACAAGAACUCCAAGAUCGUUUUCACGCGUACUGCUGUCGGAGGAGUUUAUCAGAGGAGAUGCUUCAAAACUACCCCAAAUUGUUUUAUAGCUACCACAACUGGACCCCAAGGGUAGUCUUAAUUAUUCUCCCUGUCAUUUUCAAAUAUCAAUAUUGCAGAUUCAAUUUACUAAUAAUAGGGUGGCUGUGGACAGAAGAGAGAAAGACCAGAAUAGACGUAAAAGGACAAGAAGAUCCUGCAGAUCCAGAGGUUCAGACAUCAAGCAAUUCGCUUUCCUGAGAACUACACUUCUGUUUGUUUGUUUUUUGGCAUCUCAUUAUACCUGAAUAAUCAAAACAUAGAAGCUGGAAGUCUUCUUGGCAGAAAGAAGCAGAAAAGAGAAACAAAAUGGGACAAUAUGUCUUGGGGCUGCCAAGACAGACUGUGUAAAACAUUGCUAUGAAGUCUUCUAUAUAGACACGUCAAGAUCCAAAUGCAUCCAGAAACACAAUAAAAGAAAGCUGCUUUAUUGCAACCAGUCACAUAUCCUGGCAAAGAUUUUGGUAACUAUACAAAUGAGUUAUAGGACAUGGAGAAAAGAUCUUAAUGAAACAGCUGUAAAAAUAAAUCUGUCAGCAAUCCAUUCCCCUGGAUAUUCUCUUUCUAAUCUUAUGAUUUAGAAGAAUCUGCCUUCCACUGGUCCAUCUAGCACAGGCAUGGGCGAACUUCGUCCGUCCAGGUGUUUUGGACUACAACUCCCACCAUUCCUAACAGCCUCGGGCCCCUUCCUUUUCCCCCUCAAGCCGCUUAAGCUGAAGCUUAUUUUAAUAAUUUUUAAAUAAUUUUUCCUUUGAAGGGAAGUGGCUGGGAUUUUUGAAGUGGAUAGUGGUGGGUUUGGCUGGAGAGCAUGUGGGGGCCUUUUCUUCUUUAUUCUUGGCGUAAAACCCUCUUCUUCCUCCUUCCUAUUGGUUUAAAAAAAUAAAUUUCAAAGGAAGGAAAUUGUUGGGCUUCCCUUCUCUGUUUUCAAAUCCGUCUUUCUCUAUAUAACUGGCCUUGGAAAAUCUACUUUUUUUGUAUUGCCUCUGGCUUGGUCCUCCGUCUCCUUUGGGCUGUACAAUAGGAUAGUCUUAUUAUUUGUUUUAGAUUACAUAUAUUUUUGAAAGCAAAACAUUUUUGGGCUGCUAUCUCUAUUCAAACCUUCAGUCUCUCCCCAAAACUGGCCCUUAGGAGAACGACGAGGGUUGAAUGAAAAGUAAUGCCUCCACCUUCAUAACUCCUCAACAGAUGGCAGUACUAAUAUGUGGCAGGUAUUGGCUUGUUCAAUAGACUCUCCUCUACAGUUCAAUUUGGCAGGAAGCCUUAGCACUGAAUGGUUGAGUUGUUUAAGUGCGAAAUAUGGAACCCUGCGGAGGUGGUCGGUCAAUGCGACUUAAGCAACGUGCGGUCACUGAAUUCUUGACUGGAGAAGGUGUCACCCCAAAGAAGAUUCUUCCGUUGUUUAUGUUGAUUGUGUUGAUGUGAGUACUGUUUGUCAUUGGGUGAACUUGCAUGACAAAGAGUUGGACAUCCUGUGACAGCAACCACCAAGUUUCACAAGCAAAAGGUUGACAGAUUGAUUCAGGACAAUCGUAUCACUCAAGAGAGAAAUUUCAAGCAUAACUGGCAUUUCGCUAGAAUGUGUGGGUCACAUUAUUGCUUUGCUUGUCUGUCGGAAGAUCUGUGCACGAUAGGUACUGUGAGACGAUGUCGACGUCUUCCAUGAUGGCUUCUGAAAACUUGUUCAUCAUUGGCAGAAAUGUAGCCAAUUGUCUGGUGAUUAUGUGGAAAAGUGAAUAGUGGUAGUUAAAGAGCACAUUCUAAGGAUUAUUUCUGUGUUUGAUUUAUUAAAAUAUUCCCAUCCAAACCGAAAUAAUGAAGGUGGAGGCAUUACUUUUCAUUCAACCCUCAUAUAAUUAUUUUUUCUCUCUAGUACCUUUAUGUAUAAAAAGGAAAAAACUGAGUGGGGGCGAGCCUCUGUAGCCCUCCCAUUGCCACCAAUGGUCAGAAAAUUUUCAGUUUUUUUCAUGCACGAGAUGAAAAUUCUAUUUGUAUAAGCACCCCGCUUUUGGAAAUGGGGACAAAUACGAAAAUGAGACAAAACAAAUGUAACUAAACAAAACUUACAGCGAUUCCAUACAAAUGCACACCACUACUCAACAGAUGUUAUUCAGCCUCACCUUACGGUCCUGUUGUCUUUAAUUCUCAUCUCACUUACUGGUGAUUUUAUCUUCCUUACCUAUGAAUGAACAUACUGUAGCUAAUAUGUUUACCAACUUCUUAGUCCACCAGAGGAGAUAAAUUAUUCCCCGGAAAAUUCAUGCAAUAAUAAAUAGAGACAAGCUACUUGAUCAGCAUGCCCAUGGGAUACCUGCUGCUGCCAUGUCCUCUGGUGAUAGGAUGUUUAUUUAUUCCUUUGUGAGCAAAACCAUCUGUAAACACUCUAAAUUGUCAUACACAUGAGGCUAAGCUACAAAUUUGCUGGUUCCGGGGCUAAAAUAUUAUUUGCGAUCCACUUUCUCAGUUUGCUGUCUUUUAGCCUUGGCAUUCACUCUUUUGCCUCUGCAAUUUAUUGCACCCUGUCAGGUUCAAAUGCAUUUUAACUAUAAGCGCUAUCUCAUUUCCAAACGAUAAGCCGGAUUCAACCACAUUUGAGGCAUCAUUUAUUAUAAGUGUGUGAGAAAGUACAUGCUGAACAUUUAUACCAAUUGCUGCUUUUCCUAUUAUGUCUGUUUUAGCCUGUGGAUAAUUAUGUAAAGCAUUUUGAACAUUCAAAUGCAAUAUGAGCCCUUGGCAUUAUAUAUUAUAUAUUUAUCUGGAUAGGGUUUUAAAAAAAAAAAGACACAUUACUAUAUUGAUGUAUACUCGAGGCCAUUCACAGUAAAAAAAAAAAAAAGAUACAAAAUCACAAAAUACAGAUUAAGUACUAUCUUAAAAAACAGCAGACUGCAAACCAGGAGAAUGCGUCCUGGAAUACAUUAUUUGUUGUUAUACAUUAACGUUGUUGUUAUUGGUGUUGUUGUUGUUAUUAUUAUUUACUAACUUGGGUAGUUGGCGUUGCCCGGGUAAUUUGAAAAAGUCAAAUUUUAAUUGGACAAAAUGCAUAAGGUUGUAGAUUAACUACAACUGACAUCAUGCCAAGUAAACCCAGAGAAACUCAAUCAGUACUUAAAAGUUUGUUCUGUUGGACAAGUUCGUUCUAGAUGCAUCAUCGAUGGGGUUCAGUGUGCUCUCUGGCUGUAGGGUAAACUACAAUUCCCACUAUGGUGAGUCAGUCCCCUCAAACCCCUCCAGUAGGUUGAGUUAGUUCAGGGGUGUUCUGUAUGCCAAGUUUGGUCCAAUUCCACCUUUGGUGGAGUUCAAAGUGCCCAUUGAUUGCAGGUGAACUAUAAAUCCCAGUACCUAUAACUACAAAAUGCCCAGGCCAAUUCUGCUCAAAACCCGAUAUUCAAAUUUGGGCACAUUGGGCGUGCAUGCCAAGUUUGAUCCAGAUCCAUCAUUGUUCGGGUUCAUCGUGCACUCUGGUUGUAGGUGAACUACAACUCCUAUAAAUCCCUCCAAAGACCUCCAGUAUUUUGCUGGUCAUGGGGGAUCUGUGUGCCAAGUUAGUGUUCUUAGAUUGCAGGUGGAUUAUACACCCCAGUACCUACAACUCCUAGAAAUCAUGGUGAAUUCUCCCCAAACCUCUUUAGUAUGCUCAGUUGCUGAUCAAUUCCUCUGUUUGCUGUGUGCCAAAGAAAAGAAUAGGAAAGGGUAAAGGGAGAGGCAGUGGGCAGGGUCAUGCAAAUUCCACAACAAUGGAUAGUCAGAAACACUGGGAUGUCUGUGGUGGAGGAAAAACAGAACAUCCAGGAUGAAAUUGUCUGCCCUACAUCAAGAUCUAAUUUCCUAAGACAGCAUUUCCUUCUCCUUAGCGCUGUCCAGAUAUAACCUCCCUGGUGUGGAUGAUGGGAGUUGUGAGCCCAACAUACUUGGAUGACGUUUGGCUGAAGGAACAGGAUCAAAUGGGCAAUGGACAAAAAAAAAGCACAGAUAAGAAAAAGCAUGUGAAGUUGAGUUGACAGAAUUGCAAGCAGCGUAUUUCUGAGGAUGGGAUGAAAACUGCCACCACAAGAAAGAGCAAAGGUCACCAGCCAAGAACCUAGAACAUGGUUUUGGAAUUUCCUUUAAUCAAACCACUUGAACCUUCUGGGAAUCAUCAACCAAAGAGAAUCUUGCUCACUUUUGUCCCCGCUUCUGAAAAGGAGAACAAUUUUGCUACCAUAAAAAAGCAAGGAUGGACUUCAAUCAAACCCUGGAGACUUUUUUUUUGUAACACCUCCUCACACAAGACUCUUUCAAGUGAAAUUCACCUUGGGCUAAAAGAAAACAAGGGACCAGAGUGAAAAAGGAAGCACAGCAAAGUCAAGCUUUUGUCCGGACACACUGGCCUCAAGGGGUCCAAAAGGAAGCCGAGGGAUUCCUGAAAUUCUUGGAGAGGGAUAAAGACGCAAAUUGAGUAAAAGAAGACCCUCGAGCACUUAGCUUCCACAUUCCAGUGGCAAAUUCUGAAAAACCCCCAAAGAAUAUCAUACAAUUAGCUUUGAAUGUUAACACAACCACAUCGCAACAGGAAACGUCCAGCAAUUGUUCUUACUACAAUAGUACUGGCAUUCACAGAAAGAGAGAAAGGAAGCCAGACAUUUGAUGACUGUUUGUUUUGGAAGUGUAUCCAUGCUACCUUUAUUUCCUAUUGUUUCCUGUUAUAAUCCUGUCCUUUGUAUUAUUCUUUCCUCCCCAAAAAGCCUCUGCUUUCUUAUAGUAACUCCUCUUACUGCUUUUACACCUGGAACAUUUCCAAGAAAAACAAGUAGCACUAUCUUCAUCUCCUUCUAGAGUUUCCACAAAAAACCAUCUUUUCCAUCAAGCUUUUCAAGCCUCCAAAAACCUGUCUUACUAUUUUCACCCAUCGGUCAUCUCUUAGGAGUAUGAACUCACAUUUCGCCAAAUUGUCUGCUUGUUUCUGGACUCAAGUCAAAGUACCUUUAAAAGCCCUGUACGGUUUUGGACAUCUGGGUAGAAAGAAUGCUUUUUCCUGCAGUAUAGGCACUCCAUACAAAACAUGAGACCUCACUCAAGAAUAUGCUUGCUAGGAAUGUACUUAGAAUACUGAUACAAGUAGUAUUUGAUGAGACAAUACUCCCCAUAAAGAAUGAGGUUCAUUAGGCAGAAGUGCUCCUACAUUUGGACUUAAUGGUAGUGGCUACUAACUCUGCAGAACUUUAGGAUGCUUCCAGAGAACGGAUCUCUUGAGACAGUGGAGCACAUCCAGUGGGUUACAUCUAUUACACAUAAGUCUACCUUUAAAGAAUGUGUGGAGGCUUCAGCUGUCCUAAAAUGCAGCUACAAGGAAUAUACCACACCCAUCUCAUCAUACCUCAUCAUACGUUUGAUGAGUGAAUUCUGUUGGCUCGACUCGGUCCUGAUUAAGGUUUAUGUAUAAGGUCUUGUGGACGAAUGGCUCAAGUAUUUUAUAAUGUAUGGUUUUAAAUCUAUUUAUUGUAUUUUGUUAAAUUAUCGAAUUGUUUUAAUUGCUUAUGUUUUAUCUUUUUGUAUUGUAUAUUGGCAUUGAAUUUUGCCAGAUUGUGAGCCGCCCUGAAUCCCUUUGGGUGAGAAGGGUGGGAUAGAAAUGAUGGAAAUAAAUAAAUAAAUACCUGUACUGGUUUCCAGUUAAUGAACAUGAUUCAAAAUGCUGCCAGUUACCUUUAAUGCUUUAAAUAGCUUUGUCUCUUUCCAUAAGAAACACCACAUUCCCUAAUAUAUCGUAUAUGUCCAUGGAACUAGUAGUCAUUAAGCUUCUGCAUUUCGGCUGAACCUCAAUCAGUUUCUGCUGGCUCAAUUCUGGGAGACCUACGGAUCCGUUUUUGCACAUCUCCUGAAAAUGAGCAGGUUGUCAAAUAGCCCUUUUUUGGUCUGCAGCCGAAAGAUCUGGCUCAUUGUCGGCAAUGGGGAACUUAUGAGACUCCUCUUUCCAUUUCUGGAACCCUUUCUUAUCUUGCCUUCAAGUGAGUCUGUGUUGGAGCAACAGGGUUAAGGAAGCAUCCUUCCUGGGCCCCUUUCCCAUCUUCCUUUCAAAGGAGUCUGGGCUUGAAGAACAGGGUUAAGUAAGCAUCUGUCAGAAAUAUUGAAAGUUAACAAUGUAUUUUUAAUUACAAAAGUUGGAUAAGGCACUGAAAGGGUUAAAACAGUACAGUGACUCAGUUAUACCAGCAGGUGGGUUUUUUUCGUGUCAGGAGCAACCGGAGUUGCUUCUGGAGUGAGAGAUUGGCCGUCUGCAAGGACGUUGCCCAGGGAACACCCGGAUGUUUUACCAUCCUUGUGGGAAGCUUUUCUCAUGUCCCCACAUGGAGCUGGAGCUGAUAGAGGGAGCUCAUCCACACUCUCCCCGGGUGGGAUUCGAACCUGGCAGCUUUCAGGUCAGCAACCCAACCUUCAAGUCACGAGGCUUUUAUCCUCUAGGCCACCGGAGGCUCCAAGCAGAUGGUUAUAUGCAGGUGUGUCUGUAAAGUUGUGUGAAC